UACGGGAGGCAGCAGUGGGGAAUAUUGCACAAUGGGCGCAAGCCUGAUGCAGCCAUGCCGCGUGUAUGAAAAAGGCCUUCGGGUUGUAAAGUACUUUCAGUCGUGAGGAAGGUGUUAAGGUUAAUAACCUUAGCAAUUGACGUUAGCGACAGAAGAAGCACCGGCUAACUCCGUGCCAGCAGCCGCGGUAAUACGGAGGGUGCGAGCGUUAAUCGGAAUUACUGGGCGUAAAGGGCACGCAGGCGGUUAAUUAAGUUGGAUGUGAAAUCCCCGGGCUUAAACCUGGGAAUGGCAUUCAAGACUGGUUAGCUAGAGUCUUGUAGAGGGGGUAGAAUUCCAUGUGUAGCGGUGAAAUGCGUAGAGAUGUGGAGGAAUACCGGUGGCGAAGGCGGCCCCUGGACAAAGACUGACGCUCAUGUGCGAAAGCGUGGGGAGCAAAACAGGGAUUAGAUACC
rnacentral:rRNA from 1 species